UGGGGAAUUUUGGACAAUGGGCGCAAGCCUGAUCCAGCAAUGCCGCGUGAGUGAAGAAGGCCUUCGGGUUGUAAAGCUCUUUCAGUUGAGAAGAAAAGGCCGUGACUAAUAAUCACGGUUCAUGACAGUAUCAACAGAAGAAGCACCGGCUAACUACGUGCCAGCAGCCGCGGUAAUACGUAGGGUGCGAGCGUUAAUCGGAAUUAUUGGGCGUAAAGGGUGCGCAGGCGGUUUUGUAAGUCAGAUGUGAAAUCCCCGGGCUUAACCUGGGAAUUGCGUUUGAAACUAUAAGACUAGAGUGUGGCAGAGGGGGGUGGAAUUCCAUGUGUAGCAGUGAAAUGCGUAGAGAUGUGGAAGAACAUCGAUGGCGAAGGCAACCCCCUGGGUUAACACUGACGCUCAGGCACGAAAGCGUGGGGAGCAAACAGG
rnacentral:rRNA from 1 species